rnacentral:rRNA from 1 species
AUUGAACGCUGGCGGCAUGCUUUACACAUGCAAGUCGAACGGCAGCGCGGGCUUCGGCCUGGCGGCGAGUGGCGAACGGGUGAGUAAUGCAUCGGAACGUGCCCAGUAGUGGGGGAUAGCCCGGCGAAAGCCGGAUUAAUACCGCAUACGACCUGAGGGUGAAAGCGGGGGACCGAAAGGCCUCGCGCUAUUUGAGCGGCCGAUGUCGGAUUAGCUAGUUGGUGGGGUAAAGGCUUACCAAGGCGACGAUCCGUAGCUGGUCUGAGAGGACGACCAGCCACACUGGAACUGAGACACGGCCCAGACUCCUACGGGAGGCAGCAGUGGGGAAUUUUGGACAAUGGGGGCAACCCUGAUCCAGCCAUGCCGCGUGCGGGAAGAAGGCCUUCGGGUUGUAAACCGCUUUUGUUCGGGAAGAAAUACUCUGGGCUAAUACCCCGGGGGGAUGACGGUACCGGAAGAAUAAGCACCGGCUAACUACGUG